AACCGUUUGAAGCCAGUCUUGCUUACUUGUGAUCAAUCUUAGCUUCGGCUUGGAUGCACUCUCGAGUUAUGCAGGUCAACGUCAGUUUGAGAGGUGGGAAAAAAGUUUGAGGAAUGUGGCCUUCGGGUGUUAUAGCCUUUUACUAAAUACCAUCUCCUGGACUGAGGCUCGCAGUAAAAAUGUGGGUUGGUUUGCUCCUGAGGUGAAUCAUUGUUAAGACAGCUUGCUGACUUAGUUUUGUGGAUCUUCACGGUAGACCAGCUUCUAAUUUGCUUAGGUCGUUGACAUAAUGGCUUUAAAUGA
rnacentral:rRNA from 1 species